GUUCAGAAUCCUCAUAAUGCAGUAAAGAACACAUAGCCAGGGACCGAGGGGCUAGGAAGCAAAUACAGCAUGAUCAUGAAAGUAAAGCAAGCGGUGCUAAGCAUUGAGACAUAGAUGCUAGAAAAACAACAUACAGACUCUAGACUGACAGACGACCAACACCCACUAACUCUGACAGACUGAAACUCGAAAGACUAGACAGAACAACAGAUAACUGCAGUACACUAACACAGGUAAACUCUUGAUCCAAACCACUACAAGUAGCACUGCCCGAAGGCCUACAAGGAAGACGUCAGCUCUAACCAUUGAAAGAGUUGAAGACACAUGCAGGAGAGCCAGUAGAAGCACUGGCAGAGUUGGAGGCAUCGCCCGAAGAGACGGAGACGGCUCUGUCCUUAGCUUGUUCCAGGAUGGCAUUGGCGUUGAGGUCGCAACACUGAGCGAUCUGCUUCAGCUUGCCCCGAGUGAGCGGUGACGGUGUGUUCAGAAGUGGUAGCUCGAGGAGUUCUGACACGGCCACUGUCUUGACUUUCUUGCGGCGCCAAGAAGAACCGGAGCGGCGGGACGAUCCCAAACUGGAGUCGGAUCCUGUUGCCACCGCCUUCCUCUUAGCAGCCCGCUCGACAGAUCCCACGCGCACCCCGUCGUAGGCGCGCCUGAUGCGUGGACUGCGCCUCGGCGAAGCGGUGAGCACUGGCGGUGGCGCUUCCUCCUCCUCCGCCGGCUGGCCAAGAACAAGAUUGGGAGCCCUGGCCGCCUCCAGGGUCCCCAGAGCAGCCGGCGCCAGGUCCUGGAUCUCCGCCGCGUUGUUGAGAUCGAAGGCCGCAGGGACGGCCGGGGCCGCCACCCCUACACCCAUAGAGGGGGAGGGGAAGAGUCGCAGCGCGGCAGUAGAUCACCAGCGGGAGGCUCACGCGGUGGUAAGCGGCAGCUGCAGAGGGCGGUGGCCACCUGGGGCGGAAGUGCAGCGCACGCCCCGUGCAGAAGAUCAGUGGAGAUGACUAGGGACGGUUGACCGCUCAACAGUAUCCCUGGCUCAGGACGAGGGAUGCGGUGGAAAGGCCUGGAGCAGAUGGGCCGUGCCACCAGAAUCUGGUGGGCCCGGUAGUGUUGCUGGGCUGGGAAUUGGUUCUCUAUUGGCAAGUCGCUGGGUGCGAAAGCAAG
rnacentral:rRNA from 1 species